rnacentral:rRNA from 1 species
UACGUAGGGGGGCUAGCGUUGUCCGGAAUCAUUGGGCGUAAAGCGCGCGUAGGCGGCCAGAUAAGUCCGGUGUGAAAGUCACAGGCUCAACCGUGUGAAUGCCGCUGGAAACUGCCUGGCUUGAGUCCGGAAGGGGCGAGUGGAAUUCCUGGGUGUAGCGGUGAAAUGCGCAGAUAUCAGGAGGAACACCAAUGCGAAGGCAGCUCGCUGGAACGGUACUGGACGCUGAGGCGCGAAAGCGUGGGGAGGCGAACAG